rnacentral:rRNA from 1 species
AGAGUUUGAUCCUGGCUCAGAACGAACGCUGGCGGCGUGCUUAACACAUGCAAGUCGCGUGCGCAGUUUCCGUAGCAAUACGGGGAUGGGCGCACGGCGCACGGGUGCGUAACACGUGGGCAAUCUGCCCUCCGAUGGGGAAUACCCCCGCGAAAGCGGGACUAAUUCCGCAUAACAUUCCUUGGAUUAACUUUCGAGGAUUCAAAGCAGCAAUGCGUCGGAGGAGGAGCCCGCGCCCGAUUAGCUAGUUGGUGAGGUAACGGCUCACCAAGGCAAUGAUCGGUAGCUGGUCUGAGAGGAUGGCCAGCCACACUGGAACUGAGACACGGUCCAGACUCCUACGGGAGGCAGCAGUGGGGAAUCUUGCACAAUGGGCGAAAGCCUGAUGCAGCGACGCCGCGUGGGGGAUGAAGCAUUUCGGUGUGUAAACCCCUUUCGACCCGGACGAAUGCCUCGCAAGAGGAGUGACGGUACGGGUAUAAGAAGCCCCGGCUAACUACGUGCCAGCAGCCGCGGUAAGACGUAGGGGGCCAGCGUUGUUCGGAAUUACUGGGUGUAAAGGGUUCGUAGGCGGUGUGGCAAGUUGGGAGUGAAAUCUCUGGGCUCAACCCAGAGGCUGCUUCCAAAACUGCUGUGCUUGAGUGUGGGAGAGGCGCGUGGAAUUGCAGGUGUAGCGGUGAAAUGCGUAGAUAUCUGCAGGAACACCCGUGGCGAAAGCGGCGCGCUGGACCACAACUGACGCUGAGGAACGAAAGCUAGGGGAGCAAACAGGAUUAGAUACCCUAGUAGUCC